AUUCUCGCGAGACUACUACACUGCCAAUCGCUGUUGAGUAUCAGGGUCACAUGUACCACCGCAGCCUAUCUGCUAGGUAUAUUAGCUGAAGCGGGGAAGUAUGAAAGAAUAGGACGCGUUGGGAGGAGCAGAGCUGCAUGAGCCACUUACUGUGAGCCGAGAUGAGAUGAGGUGAGAUGAGAUGAGAAAAACCCGGUUGUGUGAGAUAUAAACUGAAAAAUUGGCCAAGUUUUGAUGGCGAGCUGAAGAUCCAGGCCUAGAGCCUAAGAACGAUUGCACUUUUGGUGCAUGAAGACUUCUGAUUCUCCUGCCAGGCUGGUAGGAGGCUCCUUGCAGCCAGUGAACAAUUUGUCCCCACUCUGAUCUGACUUAUGUAAGUCCAUGACCUGCACGGCACCAAGCCCUCUAUAAUUAACUUGUGUGGGACCUCUAACCAACCCCAGCUUGGGGUGGAUGAACUGAAGAGUGUGGGUCUAUCAAUUAAGAAACUGUGGGAUUGAUUGAUUUUUUUUUCUUUUGCACAUUUUAUAUGGCCAUUCGGAUGUUUCAUUGAUGUUGUAAAUAUGUAUAUAAUUUUUCUCACUUUAAAUACAAGGCACUUGCAACUGCAAACUUCUAGUUUGUCUGCUCCUUCAUGAGUCGUAUCUAUCUUCUGAGAAAAACUAGCCCAUUGACCUUAUUGGUCACCAUUCAUUUACAUUGAUUUAAAAUAUAGUAUUCUGUUAUCUUUACAGAUAUGCUACAUUUGCUUCCCUUUCUAUUUUCCUAAAUGGUUUCACCAAUGUUCUACAGUAUAUCUAAGAAAUACUUUUCUCGUUUUAAUGUUCCUCAGCUAUAAUGCCUUAAUAAGGCCAGAGAACAGCAUACUGAUCAACCUGUUAAUAUCAGUAUACCUUUAUGUUGCUUUGUUAAUCAUUAAUGAUUGUAGGUGGCUGGUAUUUAUCUAUUGAUGUAUGUAAUUAGUUAGGAAGGAUUAUUUACUGAUGCAAAUAUUCUGAAGCAAAGUUAGAACAGAUGGCAGCUUUGUUACUAACUGUAACUAAUGUAAUCCAUGAAUGUUAGCAUGAAACAGAGGCUGGCUUUGGCUGUUUUAUCAUUGUCUCAACUUACACUUCAUACUUACAGCCACAUGGUGGCAGUGUUGUUGUUUUUUGUUCUUAAACCUAUAAAAACAAAAGCCUUGUGAAUGUGGUGCAUGUGGGAAACGAAAGAUGUUUAACCCCAUAUGUGGCAUAAAUCAGGUAAUCUAUGAGAAAAUGCAUCUGAAACUUCAUUUUACAGUUGGACACUCAUCACAUUGUGUGUGAAAAUCAGGUUGUCUCACAAGCUCACAAGUAGACAUGAUCUGAUGUUGAUCAAUAUUUGUAAUCUCUUCUCACUCACCUACUGCUCUUAAAAAUGCUGUCUGCUGAGGAUGAGACUUUAACUCUAAAGCACAUUUUUUCCCCCUGUACGAAUGUAUUAAAAUCUAUAGUUCUGAGCA